rnacentral:rRNA from 1 species
AUUGAACGCUGGCGGCAUGCCUUACACAUGCAAGUCGAACGGCAGCACGGGAGCAAUCCUGGUGGCGAGUGGCGAACGGGUGAGUAAAGUAUCGGAACGUGCCCAGUCGUGGGGGAUAACGUAGCGAAAGUUACGCUAAUACCGCAUACGAUCUAUGGAUGAAAGCGGGGGAUCGCAAGACCUCGCGCGAUUGGAGCGGCCGAUAUCAGAUUAGCUAGUUGGUGGGGUAAAGGCCUACCAAGGCGACGAUCUGUAGCUGGUCUGAGAGGACGACCAGCCACACUGGAACUGAGACACGGUCCAGACUCCUACGGGAGGCAGCAGUGGGGAAUUUUGGACAAUGGGCGCAAGCCUGAUCCAGCAAUGCCGCGUGCAGGAUGAAGGCCUUCGGGUUGUAAACUGCUUUUGUACGGAACGAAACGGCUCUGGUUAAUACCUGGAGCUAAUGACGGUACCGUAAGAAUAAGCACCGGCUAACUACGUGCCAGCCGCCGCAGUAA